UACGUAGGGUGCGAGCGUUGUCCGGAAUUAUUGGGCGUAAAGGGCUCGUAGGCGGUUUGUCGCGUCGGGAGUGAAAUCCACUGGCUUAACUGGUGGCUUGCUUUCGAUACGGGCAGACUGGAGGUAUGCAGGGGAGAACGGAAUUCCUGGUGUAGCGGUGAAAUGCGCAGAUAUCAGAAGGAACGCCGGUGGCGAAAGCGGCGGACUGGACCUCUUCUGACGCUGAGGCGCGAAAGCUAGGGGAGCAAACAGG
rnacentral:rRNA from 1 species